rnacentral:rRNA from 1 species
AUUGAACGCUGGCGGCAGGCCUAACACAUGCAAGUCGAACGCGUGGCGGACGUGUGAGUAAUGUCUGGGACACUGCCUGAUGGAGGGGGAUCUCUACGGGACACGGUCGAUAAUACCGCAUUCCCUCAUAUGUGCCUAUAUGGGAUUAGCUUGUUGGUGGGGGAACGGCUCACCAAGGCGACGCUCCCUAGCUGGUCUGAGAGGAUGACCAGCCACACUGGGACUGAGACACGGCCCAGACUCCUACGGGAGGCAGCAGUGGGGAAUAUUGCACAAUGGGCGCAAGCCUGAUGCAGCCAUGCCGCGUGUAUGAAGAAGGCCUUAGGGUUGUAAAGUACUUUCAGCGGGGAGGCGUUACCCGCAGAAGAAGCACCGGCUAACUCCGUGCCAGCAGCCGCGGUAAUUC